rnacentral:snRNA from 1 species
GUAUGUGAAGGCCAUCUGUGUGACACGUCUCCUCUGAGGGUCAGGGUUGUUUCAGCUGAGCUGGUGGGAAAGGCAGCUGCCCCCUCUUUUUCUCACCAUUCCACCUGAAAAUUCUACCUUUGGGCAUCUGCCAAAGAUGCACAUUUGGUCAAGAAGCACAACCUUCCAAGGAGAAGGACCAUUUAUCUUAUCAAGGGUAUUCAAGGAUUUGUACUUUCCUGCUCCAAGUUCUAAACAGAUUUAUUUAGGACCAGCAGGAAGAUGAUAUAGGACAGUAAAUUUUCCAAGACAGCCCUUCUCUGAAAGCCUGUUCCAGAGACUGACAGCCCUCACAG